AACGAACGCUGGCGGCGCGCCUAACACAUGCAAGUCGAACGAGAAACCCUCCGCAAGGGGGGGCGGUACAGUGGCGAACGGGUGAGUAACGCAUGGGUAAUCUGCCGAAGAGUGGGGGAUAACCUUCCGAAAGGAGGGCUAAUACCGCAUAAGACCACGUCCCGAUGGGGAUGGGGUCAAAAGUGGCCUCUGCACGCAAGCUAUUGCUCUUCGAUGAGCCCAUGUCCCAUCAGCAGUUGGCGGGGUAACGGCCCACCAAGGCGACGACGGGUAGCUGGUCUGAGAGGACGACCAGCCACACUGGCACUGAGACACGGGCCAGACUCCUACGGGAGGCAGCAGUGAGGAAUCUUGCACAAUGGGCGAAAGCCUGAUGCAGCGACGCCGCGUGA
rnacentral:rRNA from 1 species